UAGGGAAUCUUCCGCAAUGGGCGAAAGCCUGACGGAGCAACGCCGCGUGAGUGAUGAAGGUCUUCGGAUCGUAAAACUCUGUUAUCAGGGAAGAACAAAUGUGUAAGUAACUAUGCACGUCUUGACGGUACCUAAUCAGAAAGCCACGUCUAACUACGUGCCAGCAGCCGCGGUAAUACGUAGGUGGAAAGCGUUAUCCGGAAUUAUUGGGGGUAAAGCGCGCGUAGGCGGUUUUUUAAGUCUGAUGUGAAAGCCCACGGCUCAACCGUAGAGGGUCAUUGGAAACGGGAAAACUAGAGUGCAGAAGAGGAAAGGGGAAUUCCAUGUGUAGCGGUGAAAUGCGCAGAGAUAUGGAGGAACACCAGUGGCGAAGGCGACUUUCUGGUCUGUAACUGACGCUGAUGUGCGAAAGCGUGGGGAUCAAACAGG
rnacentral:rRNA from 1 species